rnacentral:misc_RNA from 1 species
CGGGCAGCGACAGCAUGACCCCUACGCCUCUUCAUUUGUGGGAACGAGCUUCGAAUCGUCCGCGGUCGGUUUCCCUGUGUUGCAUACCUAUUGCAAUGGCAUUCGGUCGGCUAAAAUGGUCUAUUCUCCGUCUUGCGCCGGCGCUCCUUGCGGGCGUUCGGUGUGGGGUGGAUCUCACGGUGUCCGUUGUGUUUCGCGCCGCAUUCACCUAAGUUGGUGUUUGGGUAGGCGACCCACUACGUGAUGCUCGUUGUCUUGGGUGCGGAACAUCGGGUGGGUACGAGGCACCGUCCUCUAAUCACCACAAAAAUGCGUUCUCUACGCUCUAUGCGAACGACGGCCGCGCUCGACGUUCGACUUAGCAAUCGCUGCUCGGUCGAUAUCGUGACGGCGUCGGUGAGGGAUGC